rnacentral:rRNA from 1 species
UACGUAGGGGGCAAGCGUUGUCCGGAAUCAUUGGGCGUAAAGCGAGCGUAGGCGGCCCGAUAAGUCUGCUGUAAAAGUCAACGGCUCAACCGUUGAAAGCCGGUGGAUACUGUCGGGCUAGAGUUCGGAAGAGGCAAGUGGAAUUCCUGGUGUAGCGGUGAAAUGCGCAGAUAUCAGGAGGAACACCAAUGGCGAAGGCAGCUCGCUGGGACGUGACUGACGCUGAGACGCGAAAGCGUGGGGAGCAAACAGG